rnacentral:rRNA from 1 species
UACAGAGGCCUCAAGCGUUGUUCGGAAUUAUUGGGCGUAAAGCGGGUGUAGGUGGCUUAGUAAGUCAGAUGUGAAAGCCCUGGGCUUAACCCAGGAUGUGCGUCUGAUACUGCUGAGCUCGAGUGUGGAAGAGGAAAGUGGAAUUCCUGGUGUAGGGGUGAAAUCCGUAGAUAUCAGGAGGAAUACCAACGGCGAAGGCAACUUUCUGGUCCACAACUGACACUCAGACCCGAAAGCGUGGGGAUCAAACAGG